rnacentral:lncRNA from 1 species
UUACCUAAAUUCCUAAGAAAAUAUUUUUCAGAAGAAAGUGAUAUACAAAGGCCUUGUACUACAGUUAAAAGAAACACGUUUGAAUCACACAGGAUUUGAAAGAUGAUUAAAUAUAGUAUAAUUGGGAGAAAAUUCUGGUCAAUGUAUUUAUCUACAGUAGUAUUUUAGGAAGCAGUAUUUUUGGCUUCAAUAUAUGCAAAAAAAAUUUGAUUCACAAAUAUUUUGCUCAAGUAGGCUAUUUCUGGAGUUUCAUUAUAUGUGAAAUUUUCUCUGUUCUUUCAAUUUGCUGUAGGUUGGUCAACCCAAUGAUUGAUGACUAGUUUUUGAACAUUGAAACAGGCAAACUUCACUGCAUUGAAGUUGUCACUGAACUCAGGAGAGAAUAUUUGGCUGACCCAUUCCCUGCAAAUAAUUAAAAGGAGUAUGAUUUCACUUCUAAUUGGAUUUCUAAGGUCCUACCCUGCCCCCAAGCAACUCAGAGGACUUGGGGAAAGGUGAUUCCACCUCCAUCUCCAGGACUGGGUCCUGAUUUGUCUAGCCCAGUGAUUGACUUAUGGACUUAUGCUAGGCUUUGUCUAAUCAGCAUAAACAUGCUCCUGAGACACUUUAAACCCAAUUGUGGGUAUGGAAUCUGAGUUAUAUGGUUCAAAAUAAAAGGAAAGAUUUAUUUCUUUCGCCAUUCUGGAAGGGAGGAAGAUUUCUCCUUUGAAAGUAAAUACAGAUGGAUAUUGUUUCCAUAGUUAAUGGCAGUUUUCUUGAUCAUGAACUCCUUAUUACCAAAUUCAGACUUAAAUUGAAGAAAGUA